AUCUGAUCUCAAAUCAGGUAGGACUACCCGCUGAACUUAAGCAUAUCAAUAAGCGGAGGAAAAGAAACUAACAAGGAUUCCCCUAGUAACGGCGAGUGAAGCGGGAAGAGCUCAAAUUUAAAAUCUGGCGGUGUAUUCCGUCCGAGUUGUAGUCUAGAGAAGCAUCAUCCGUGCUGGACCAUGUACAAGUCUCUUGGAACAGAGCGUCAUAGAGGGUGAGAAUCCCGUCCUUGACAUGGACUCCCAGUGCUUUGUGUUGUGCUCUCAACGAGUCGAGUUGUUUGGGAAUGCAGCUCAAAAUGGGUGGUAAAUUCCAUCUAAAGCUAAAUAUUGGCGAGAGACCGAUAGCGAACAAGUACCGUGAGGGAAAGAUGAAAAGCACUUUGGAGAGAGAGUUAAACAGUACGUGAAAUUGUUGAAAUGGAAACGCUUGAAGUCAGUCGCGUUCUCUGGGAUUCAGCCUUGCUUCUGCUUGGUGCACUUCCUAGUUUACGGGCCAACAUGGAUUUUGACCGGUGGAAAAGGAUUUGGGGAAUGUGGCACCUCCUGGGUGUGUUAUAGCCCCUUGUCGCAUACAUCGGUUGGGAUCGAGGUUUCAGUGCACGCUUCG
rnacentral:rRNA from 1 species